rnacentral:rRNA from 1 species
GUUAGGUCCUUCCAAUGGGCGAACCGAUUCUGUAGCCGGUUCUGAGAGGAAUGAUUCGCACACUGGAACUGAGAACACGGCCAGACUCCUUACGGAGGCAGCAGUUGGGGGAAUAUUGGACAUGGGCGCAGCUUGAUUCCAGCCAUGCCGCGUGUGUUGAAGAAGGCUUAUUGGUUGUAAAGCACUUUAAGCGAGGAGGAGGCUACUCUAGUUUAAUACCUAGAGAUAGUGGACGUUACUCGCAGAAUAAGCACCGGGCUAACUCUGUGCCAGCAGCCGCGGUAAUACAGAGGGUGCAAGCGUUAAUCGGAUUUACUGGGCGUAAAGCGCGCGUAGGCGGCUAAUUAAGUCAAAUGUGAAAUCCCCGAGCUUAACUUGGGAAUUGCAUUCGAUACUGGUUAGCUAGAGUGUGGGAGAGGAUGGUAGAAUUCCAGGUGUAGCGGUGAAAUGCGUAGAGAUCUGGAGGAAUACCGAUGGCGAAGGCAGCCAUCUGGCCUAACACUGACGCUGAGGUGCGAAAGCAUGGGGAGCAAACAGGAUUAGAUACCCUGGUAGUCCAUGCCGUAAACGAUGUCUACUAGCCGUUGGGGCCUUUGAGGCUUUAGUGGCGCAGCUAACGCGAUAAGUAGACCGCCUGGGGAGUACGGUCGCAAGACUAAAACUCAAAUGAAUUGACGGGGGCCCGCACAAGCGGUGGAGCAUGUGGUUUAAUUCGAUGCAACGCGAAGAACCUUACCUGGCCUUGACAUAGUAAGAACUUUCCAGAGAUGGAUUGGUGCCUUCGGGAACUUACAUACAGGUGCUGCAUGGCUGUCGUCAGCUCGUGUCGUGAGAUGUUGGGUUAAGUCCCGCAACGAGCGCAACCCUUUUCCUUAUUUGCCAGCGAGUAAUGUCGGGAACUUUAAGGAUACUGCCAGUGACAAACUGGAGGAAGGCGGGGACGACGUCAAGUCAUCAUGGCCCUUACGGCCAGGGCUACACACGUGCUACAAUGGUCGGUACAAAGGGUUGCUACCUAGCGAUAGGAUGCUAAUCUCAAAAAGCCGAUCGUAGUCCGGAUUGGAGUCUGCAACUCGACUCCAUGAAGUCGGAAUCGCUAGUAAUCGCGGAUCAGAAUGCCGCGGUGAAUACGUUCCCGGGCCUUGUACACACCGCCCGUCACACCAUGGGAGUUUGUUGCACCAGAAGUAGCUAGCCUAACUGCAAAGAGGGCGGUACCGUCUCCCC